rnacentral:misc_RNA from 1 species
GGGGGUUUAUUGUUGAAUCACAGAUGAUAACAUUUAUAUAUAAAAAAGAAAGAAUUUAGCAAAUACUAGUACAUUUGUAAGUAAAAACAAAUGUAAAAGAUUAUUAAAAUGGUUGAUUAACUUUCAAUGUAAAUAAUGUUGUGUAAAUAUUGAAUGUAUGUAUGUAUCACUACCCUGGCUCUCCAAAUAAAGGAAAGUCAUUUGGGCUGUCCCCCUUUUCUUUGCCAAUUAAAUGAUUUUGAUUUG